rnacentral:lncRNA from 1 species
GUUUUCUUUGUCCAUGUGUUUGUUUGUAUUCCACAUAUGAGUGAAAUCAUAUGGUGUUUGUCUUUCUCAGUCUGGCUUAUUUCGCUUAGCAUAAUUCCCUCCAGAUCCAUCCACGUUGUUGCAAAAGGGAGAAUUUUGUCUUUUUUUAUGGUUGAAUGGUAUUCCAUUGUAUAUAUAUGCCACAUCUUCUUUAUCCAAUCAUCAGUCGAUGGACACUUGGAAUGUUUCCAUGUCUUGCCUAUUGUGAAUAAUGCUGCAAUGAACAUAGGGGUGCAUAUGUUACUUUGGAUUGUUGAUUUCAAUUUGUUUGGGUAGAUACCCAGUAGUGGGAUAGCUGGGUCAUAAGGUAUAUCUGUUUAGUUUUUUGAGGAAUCUCCAUACUGUUUUCCAUAGUGGCUGCACUAGUUUGCAUUCCCACCAAGCAUACAAGUUCUUUACCAGAUGCAGUUGACCUUCCGGAUCCACAUAUACUAUGUUUGUAAUCCGUGGUUGGUUGAAUCUUCGGAUGGAGUCGACUAAAGGACUAGAGCGUCCGUGGAUUUUGGUAUCUGCAGGGGCGUCCUGGAACCAAUCCUCCACGGGUGGGACACCUACCACAGCAUGGCUUGCCAAGUGGUGCCAUAUCUGCACCCAGGAUUCAAACUGGUGAACCUCGGGCCACUGAAGCAGAAUGUGUGCACUUAACUGCUGCACCACCAGGCUGGCCCUUUGUUAAGUUUACGACAGAGUUCUGCUGGAAGUUGAUUCUGCCAGUUUUUGCUCGGUUUUCAGUUUUUCUGUAGGAGAACAACAGCUUGGAGCUGCCUACUUCACCAUUUUGCUGACGUCCUUCCUCCAUCACUUCUUAUUGUCUCAAUAUGCUU